rnacentral:rRNA from 1 species
GAUGAACGCUGGCGGCGUGCCUAACACAUGCAAGUCGAACGGAGUUUGCGGAGCCUUCGGGCAAAGCAAACUUAGUGGCGGACGGGUGAGUAACGCGUGGGUAACCUGCCUCAUACAGGGGGAUAACAGCUGGAAACGGCUGCUAAAACCGCAUAAGCAUACAGUGCCGCAUGGUACAGUGUGAAAAUAUUUAUAGGUAUGAGAUGGGCCCGCGUCUGAUUAGCUAGUUGGUAAGGUAACGGCUUACCAAGGCGACGAUCAGUAGCCGGCUUGAGAGAGUGACCGGCCACAUUGGGACUGAGACACGGCCCAAACUCCUACGGGAGGCAGCAGUGGGGAAUAUUGCACAAUGGGGGAAACCCUGAUGCAGCGACGCCGCGUGAGUGAUGAUGGCCUUCGGGUUGUAAAGCUCUUUGAUCAGGGACGAUAAUGACGGUACCUGAAGAACAAGCCACGGCUAACUACGUGCCAGCCGCCGCAGUAAGAC